rnacentral:rRNA from 1 species
AACCUCCGCAAUGUGAGAAAUCGCGACGGGGGGAUCCCAAGUGCCAUUCUUAACGGGAUGGCUUUUCAUUAGUGUAAAGAGCUUUUGGAAUAAGGGCUGGGCAAGACCGGUGCCAGCCGCCGCGGUAACACCGGCAGCUCUAGUGGUAGCAGUUUUUAUUGGGCCUAAAGCGUCCGUAGCCGGUUUAAUAAGUCUCUGGUGAAAUCCUGCAGCUUAACUGUGGGAAUUGCUGGAGAUACUAUUAGACUUGAGACCGGGAGAGGUUAGAGGUACUCCCAGGGUAGAGGUGAAAUUCUGUAAUCCUGGGAGGACCGCCUGUUGCGAAGGCGUCUAACUGGAACGGUUCUGACGGUGAGGGACGAAAGUUAGGGGCGCGAACCGGAUUAGAUACCCGGGUAGUCCUAACUGUAAACGAUGCGGACUUGGUGUUGGGGUGGCUUUGAGCUGCUUCAGUGCCGAAGGGAAGCUGUUAAGUCCGCCGCCUGGGAAGUACGGUCGCAAGACUGAAACUUAAAGGAAUU